CCUACGGGAGGCAGCAGUGGGGAAUAUUGCACAAUGGGGGAAACCCUGAUGCAGCGACGCCGCGUGAAGGAAGAAGUAUUUCGGUAUGUAAACUUCUAUCAGCAGGGAAGAAAAUGACGGUACCUGACUAAGAAGCCCCGGCUCACUACGUGCCAGCAGCCGCGGUAAUACGUAGGGCGCAAGCGUUAUCCGGAUUUACUGGGGGUAAAGGGGGCGUAGGCGGUUUAGCAAGUCCGAAGUGAAGGCCGGGGGGUAAACUCCGGGACUGCUGUUGAAACUGUUGAACUAGAUUGCAGGAGAGGUAAGUGGAAUUCGUGGUGUAGCGGUGAAAUGCGUAGAUAUUAGGAGGAACACCAGUGGCGAAGGCGACUUACUGGACUGUAAAUGACGCUGAGGCUCGAAAGCGUGGGGAGCAAACAGGAUUAGAUACCCCAGUAGUC
rnacentral:rRNA from 1 species